rnacentral:lncRNA from 1 species
AUCUUCACCGGUACAUUUGCAGUGCAUUUUUUAAACUUCUUCUUAAACUGUAUCCCAUCUUUUUUAAAAAAAAAUUAAGCGUCUUUAUCUCACCUUUCUAUCUUGUUUUCAUUGCUUCAAAGAAAUAAGUUUUUUCCAUUUGGAUUCUUUUUAGUACUUUAGGUGUCGGGCGUGUAAACUUAAAAUUGAAUGAAUAAGAUCCCCAUUUACUAAUAUGUUGAAGGCAUUUGACAUGUGAUGACUCUAUUGCUUUAAAGAUCCCCAUUCACUAAUAUGUUGUGUGCAAGUAUGAGUUUACUCGAGUUGUCAAUCUAUACGAUUCAGACACUAUAUGGUUCAUGUCAAGUAAUACUCGUACCUUGAAACAGAGGAGGCAGAGCAGUUCAAAUCCUAAGAGCCAAUCUGAGCAGUUCAAUCGCCAUAAGGGAGCUGCUUCUGGUUUUCCAAACAACCCACAUAGACCAUCACAACCAAGCGAAGAAAUAGGCAGAGAUCACUUGGAGAAUCUUUCAGAGAGAUUCUCUCAUUCCGGACCUCUAGCUCCAGGAUUUGGGUGGGCGAAAUCUGGGAGGAAAUAUGAUCAUGAUAUUUCUGUAUGUUCCAAUAGACCCGACUUAUCAAAGUUAUCCAGUUUAGUAGCAUCUAGGUCAGUUGUGGCCGGUGAUGCUCGAGACCAAUUUGCUGUUUCACAUCUGGAAUCUGCCCAUCAAAUAGAAAGGCCAGUACGCUUGCUUGAUGAACACCCAAGGAAGCAGGAUCAGAAGCGUCACAUGCAAAACCCUGCUGAUUCUCGUCAAUUUGACAAUGGAAGGGCCAGCGUCAAAGAAUCAAAUCUGGUAAGUCAUACAAGCAUCAUAACUUGUUAAGGUCGUGAAAACUUUAAUGACCUUAAAGGAAUUGAAUUCUGAGUGCAUAGACAGGAAUUGAGAUAAUCUUUUAUCGCCAUUUUGUGUUACAAAGUGAUUUAAAACGUGCUGAAACUUCACAUUCUCCAAGUAUAGUUAAACUUAUAUAUUCUACUAUGAAAUUAAAAAUGUUUGCAUACACAAAUCCCUUUACAUUGUGAUAGUUAACAAUUAUAAAGUCGUUUCAUUCACUUGGAUUUGUAUUCUUGAGCCGAGGGUCUAUCGGAAAUAGCCUCUCGGGGGUAAGGUCUGCAUACACACUACCCUUCCCGAACCCCACUUGUGGGAUUAUGCCGGAUUGUUGUUGUUGUUCACUUGGAUCUGUCAUCUAAUGCAACAGCCCUGCAGUCAGUAAAAAGAUUUUUGGUUUCUUUCUUGUAGUAUGAAGUUAACUCUAGUAUGAUGGGAUUCUUAUCUAAAUCUUUUUAUUUUAUGAAGCAUGGCCAUGGUCACAACACAAACAAAAUCCAUUUUUCUGGUCCACUACUUGUUCAACCUAAUAAAGUGGAUCAAAUGCUGAAAGAGCACGAUCGUCGUAUCCAGGAAGCUGCACGACGAGCAAGGCUCGAGAAGGCAAGAGCAGGUAAAGAUCAAGCUCAAGGAAUACGGAGAACAAACAACUCUAUUUAUGUCACUAGUGUGGGAUCGCGGUAGAUCGGGAAUUAUAUAUAGUUCUUUGUACAGUUCUUCUGGAAAUUAUUGUUAUUAAUAGGAAAAUUAAUCAAGA